rnacentral:lncRNA from 1 species
AUCAAGUAUCUUCGUGUUCGUAAUUCCAACGGUGCUUCUUAUAAGAAUGAUGAAACGCAAGCGGACAUAAGUACUCGUUCCCGUGACGAAGUCACUGGGGCCGGCGUAGGGCCUUUGACAGUCAAUGAUUUACAAAAUGCAAGGAAACAACUUAUUCGUUACGUACAACAGGAAGCCUUUCCCGAUGAAAUUACCCGUCUUAAACGCAGAUCGAGCGGUCAAUCUACCUCGAAAAUUGUUGUGAAGAAAUCCAGCAAAUUGGCAGCAUUAUCACCUUUCCUCGCAGACGACGGUCUAUUAAGAGUUGGUGGCCGAUUGGAUAGAGCAUCAAUAAGUUUUGACGCCAAGCAUCCCGCGAUCAUUCCAGGCAAGCACCACAUUGUAGAACUGUUGAUACGGCACUAUCAUGAGCAAGAAGGACACUCGGGCGUUCGUACUGUUUUAUCGGCUAUUCAGCGUGAAUUUUGGAUUCUCCAAGGGCGUUCCAGGAUUCGAUGGAUCAUUGGCAAAUGUGUUCAAUGCCGCAAGAAAUACGCGUCGCCCUGUGAACAGAUAAUGGCGCCUUUACCAGCAGCUCGUGUAACUGUUCCAGAUUAUCCAUUUGCGUCAACGGGAGUCGAUUACUUUGGUCCUUUGAUGGUGAAGAGAGGUCGAAGUCAAGUCAAGAGAUACGGAUGCAUCUUCACUUGUUUGGCCAUGCGGGCAGCUCACAUAGAAGUCGCACAUUCUCUCGAUGCAGAAUCGUUUCUCUGUGCAUUCAGUCGCUUCACAGCCCGUCGAGGGGUUCCGAAGGAAAUCUUUAGUGACAAUGGAACCAAUUUCAUUGGAGCGUCAAGAAUCUUGAAGGAAGAGUUCAAGAAUAUUCAGUCAGUGGAGUCUCAAGCCAAGAUCAACGAUCGUUUACGAAUGAAAGAAAUCACGUGGCAUUUCAACCCUCCCUUGGCAAGUCACACUGGUGGAGUGUGGGAGCGCAUGAUUCGAUCAAUCCGAAGAAUAUUAACUGCACUGACAAGCGAGCAGGUUAUUGAUGACGAAGCACUUCUCACGUUCUUAGUCGAAGUGGAGAGAAUUCUCAACGAUCGCCCCCUGAAUCGUAACCAAGGUCAAGUAUGUGAUUUGGACCCACUAACUCCAAGCAAGUUGCUUCUCUUGAGAUCGAACUCAUGUCUUCCUACAGGCGUGUUCGUUGGUGAAGAUCGUUAUAGCAAGCGAUGGCGACAAGCUCAACUUCUAGCUAACACAUUUUGGAAACGAUGGUUGGGUGAAUACCUACCUAGUCUGCAGCAGCGCCAGAAGUGGCUGAAACCCAGAAGGAACUUGAAGGUCAAAGAUUUGGUGUUAAUGGUGGAUAAGAGAUGUUCACGAGGACAGUGGCCUAUGGCAGUGGUGGAGGAAGUUUUUGCAGAUAAGGACGGAAUGGUGCGUCAAGUUAUGAUUAGAUCGAAUGGCGGGAAAUUUAAGAGACAUGUCCGUGAACUGUGCCUAGUCGAAGAAGCGAAAGAAGUCGAUGAAUAGUCGCAAGGUCUGGUAUAUACAAACGUUUAUAUAUUGUUAUUGUUAUGCGAAGCCAAUCGAACUCGUACUUUGUUCCAGUUACUGGGCGUAGAUCCUUGUGUUUUGGUAUAUCGACUAUGUUUAUACUCGAUAGGGGCCGGUUUGUAGGAUCUAACCCGAAAAGUAGGGCCUAAUCGCCUGCGAGCAGGCAGGACAUCACGUGAUAAAAACACAUGUUGGUUUUAUAUUUUUGAUUGUUUGUUCGGAUUACGAAGGGCAAAAGUCAGGUACAUUUGCAUGUUUUUGGUCCUGUUUUCUAUGUAUUUGCAAAGUAAUUUGUUUCUUGUAGCGUAGUUUAUAAUGUAUUUGUAUUGUUUCUAUAGAAACCACCUUUAAAGCG